rnacentral:rRNA from 1 species
CCUGGCUCAGGAUGAACGCUAGCGGCAGGCCUAAUACAUGCAAGGUCGAACGGGAGGAAGUCCUUCGGGACUUCCGAGAGUGGCGCACGGGUGCGUAACGCGUAUGCAACCAACCCGCACUGGGGGACAGCCGGUGGAAACGCCGGGUAAUACCCCAUGCCGACAUCGAGGGACAUCCCUUGAGGUCGAAAGGCUUCGGUCGGUGCGGGACGGGCAUGCGUCCCAUUAGCUAGUUGGCGGGGCAACGGGCCCACCCAAGGCUACGAUGGGUAGGGGAUCUGAGAGACGGUCCCCCACACUGGUACUGAGACACGGACCAGACUCCUACGGGAGGCAGCAGUAAGGAAUAUUGGGCAAUGGGGGAACCCUGACCCAGCCAUGCCGCGUGAGGGAAGUAGGCCCUACGGGUCGUGAACCUCUUUUGUCGGGGGACAAGGACGGCGUCGAGAACGCCGUUUGCGGGUACCCGGCGAAUAAGCAUCGGCUAACUCCGUGCC